GCCGGUACUAACUAUUUCAGUGGCUAGCGCGUGAGACUUUUACCACAAUGUACAAUCUCAAGGUUGAGGGUUCGAGCCCCUCCUCGGGCG